rnacentral:rRNA from 1 species
ACGAACGCUGGCGGCGUGCCUAAUACAUGCAAGUCGAGCGGACUGAUUAAGAGCUUGCUCUUAUGACGUUAGCGGCGGACGGGUGAGUAACACGUGGGCAACCUGCCCUGUAGAUCGGGAUAACACCGAGAAAUCGGUGCUAAUACCGGGUAAUAUCUGAGAUCACAUGAUCUUAGGUUAAAAGAUGGCUCCGGCUAUCACUACAGGAUGGGCCCGCGGCGCAUUAGCUAGUUGGUAAGGUAAUGGCUUACCAAGGCGACGAUGCGUAGCCGACCUGAGAGGGUGAUCGGCCACACUGGGACUGAGACACGGCCCAGACUCCUACGGGAGGCAGCAGUAGGGAAUCUUCCGCAAUGGACGAAAGUCUGACGGAGCAACGCCGCGUGAGUGAUGAAGGGUUUCGGCGCGUAAAGCUCUGUUGUUAGGGAAGAAACAGUACCGAACGAACUAGGUCGGUACCUUGACGGUACCUAACCAGAAAGCCACGGCUAACUACGUG